CGCCAAUGAGCCAAUGGAUGAAGAAGAGCCAGUCAAGCAUUUAGCCACGCGAUCUCUUCACUCACUGUGUAUGAUACUUUAAUGGGUGAGAGAAUUCUGUCCUGAUGUUUGGCUUUGGUCCCUCCAUCAUCCACUCUUCAGCAACUGGUCUUUGUAUGGAGGCCACCAUGAUCUAUACAGAUCUAGUUGUCUCGUCUCCCACAAACUCCACUUUCAGGGUCCAGAGACAACUAGGGGGUGUCGACAAACUUCCAACGAGGACCAUUAGACCACUUGAGAAGAAUGACCUCAUAUGACCAAGCUCUAAAGUUGUAAAGCAGAUUUUGAGCUGAUCUCACCACAACCCCUGGGUGCACCAGCUGUGGAAAUUACGGCCAAACUUUGGGUUUCCCAUCCCAGUGUUAAUACAGCUUGGAUCCAGCCUCACUUGUGGUUACUUCAGAUGAUGCCAACACUCAUGAAGACCCCAGAUGAUUGCAACUACAGAUGAACAUACCAACCUGACAAAUGUUAUGUAUUGUAAUCAUUGCCUUAAAGCAUACGUUGAGUGAUUUUCAACCCACUUUGUAUUGUUACUAUGAUGGUAAUAUAUGUGAACGAACAAUGUUUAAUCUUUCUCUGAGUUCCAUGAGAUAUACCCAUUUAUUUGUCAGCCAAAUAAUAUUUUGCAUUAUCCGAAUAAUGUUUAUUUACAUAUUACAGACUUUGUGACAGUAUAAAGUGGAUUUAAAUUCCCCGAAACUACCCUUUAAUGGUUGUCCCUUUAACUGAACAUGUGCUUUGAACACAUAACUUGUAUUAUCUUAGAGUUAUUGACAUAUAGACAUUAAUUUGUUGCCAGAAGAUGCUCCCCAUUGAGUUACAGUCACCUCAGGCUGUUGAUAGGAUUUUUUUUUAAAUUAUUUAUUUUAAACCUUGAAAUUUUCUAAAGCUGCUUUGAUUGUGAAAAGCAUUGUACCCUUACAACAGUUAACCAUGUUUUUACUAUGGUAAAACUAGUAAUCAUAACUGUAGUAAUCAGGGUUUUUUUAGUUUUUCUCAAACUGAGAUUUUGAUAUCAUGGUUCUACAAUAGUAAUAUUUUAGUAAUGCUUGAGUAAAACUGUGGUAACCAUAGUUUUUGAAACCAUGGUGAAGUUUGUAGUUACUAUAGGUUUACUACUAUGCUGUAGUAAGACCAUGGUUAUGGUAGUUACUGUGAAUUUACUACAACAAUCAUAGUUAAACCAUGGUUAAUUUUGUGGUUGACUUUUGUAUGGACAUAUGUGAACUGAAUGCUUCUAUUUGAAAGUCACAUUGGAUAAAACCAUCUGAUACAUAUACUGUAAAUGCAUUUGUAUGUUUAAUCUGUUCACUGAAAAUAAAUUUUCAA